rnacentral:lncRNA from 1 species
UUUUUUUAACAAUUUGACGUUUUUACUUUAUAUAUGGAUAAAAGAGAAUGCUCUGUGAUCAUGUAAUUUUUUUUAUCAAGAAAUUCAAGUUUUUACAUUACUAUGCAUAUUUGAAAGGCUUGUCCUUUUUGAUAUAACCAAUUAAGUUCAAUGAUCAACUCUCAAACCAAUCAAUUGUUUAUUGCUGUAGCCAUUGCUGAAUUGAAAGUUUGUUAGUAUAAAGCAAGUGCAUUGCUAAUAAAAACAUUCUUAAACUUUCCAAUUUCUAAAUGAUUGACUGUCUGUGUUUGAAAAAGUUGCCAAGGAACACUGGCUUGAAGAGGUGAAAUCAUACUAGCAAACUCGUUUAAUGAAAGCACCAAGCCUUUCCAAUAUGGACAGGAAGAUAAACAAAAAACAUUCUAUUCCCUGCUUUAUAUUCAUUCAAAAAAAAACUUUUGCUUUGUUAUAUUUUUUUUUAAUUGUUUAAUUUUUAAAUGACAUAUUUAAUGUUGUUAAUGGGCGCCUUUUUUACUAUUUCUUAUGAGAAUGCGUCCAAUAGUUUCAUUUUACAUGUUGACAGACUUUUAUUUUUAAAAGCUUUAAAUUUUAGUGCUUAUUAAGAUAUUUAUUAUGUUUUCAGAUAUAGUGCAUCAUUUGAGAAUGUUCUUUUUACUGCAUUUAAAGGGGCUUCUUAAAAUGACAAAUAAAAUUGAUGGAAAUUGUAUGUUGAAAAUCUAUGCAAGUUUUAGAUGUUAGGCAAAAUAUACUAUGCUCUGAAGUGUAAAGCAGAUUCUGCUUCACAUGUGGCGGCACCUGUCAUGUUGUUCAUGUUAGUACAAAACCCGAGUAACAAGUCUACCACAUUCGUUGAAAAGGAAAUGGAUUAUGAUAUAAUUUACGAAGCUAUGAUUUCAACUUCACCAUUUCGAAUUCUUAAUUUAAUAGUUUUCUUGUGAUUAGCAACCCUCCAUCAAGGAUAUCAUGAUAAUAUAUGUACAUUUUAACAAAGCAUAUCUGUAAAGUCUUACCGACUUGAGUUAAAAAAACAAAUAAUAAUCAUAACCACACUAAACACAUGAGAAAGAUGUUUGAUUAGAGAGUGCCAAUGAGACCAACUCUCUAAAAUAAGUGACAAUAUAUUAAAAAAGUUGAAAAAUUAUAGGUCUAAGUACGGCCUUCAAUUCGGAUUCUUGACUCACACAAAACAGCAACCCUAUAAAGUGAAAACAAUUCAAAAUGGAAAAACCAACGGUCUAUAAUCUAUAUAAAGAAAACAAGAAACACUUAUGAACCACAUCAUCAAACGACAACCACCGAAGAAUGAACUGAGUGCAGUUAUAUAGAUGAAGACACGCACACAACGUAAAAUGUAUCAAAACAUGCAGACUUAUUUUAUUACUACCUAUAUUGUGUUCUAUAAAGGCAUCUACGUUUUAGAUAUUGAAUUAUAUUGUGUCAGAUCAAAAGUUAUUUCGUUACAUGACUUUUUGAUUGUUAUCUCUAUUUCAAUUAAUAUUUUACCUGGUACCUUUGAUAACUAUUUACACCACUAGGUCGAUGCCACUGCUGGCGGACGUUCGUCCCCGAGGGUAUCACCAGCCAAGAUAGUCAACACUUCGGUGUUGACAUGAAUAUCAAUAUUGUGUCAUUUUUAUAAAUUGCUUAUUUAAGAUAUUUAUUAUGUUUUCAGAUAUAGUGCAUCAUUUAGAAUGUUCAUUUUACUGAUUAAGGGCAUCUUAAAAUUGACAAAUUACAAUUGAUGGAAUUGUAUGUUGAAAAUCUAUGCAAGUUUAAUAGAUGUUAGGCAAAUAUACUCAUAAUAGAUACAAGGAUUGAAAUUUCGUUUUCAGGCAAGACAUACCUUUUAGUCUACAAAAAGACUCAUCAGUUGACACUUUAAGGAGGAGCAUUGAGGACCAAAAAUUCCUAAACAUUUUGCCAAAAUGCAGCUAAGGUUAUCUAUUCCUGAGGUAGAAAAGCCUUAGUAAUUUCAAAAAAAUCAGUUUUUGUAAAAUUAUAACUAUGACCAUCAAUGUUAAUUCAUGUCAACUAAGAAGUGCCUGAUUGCUUCAAGCCAUUUUCAAGAAGUUGUGGAAUAAUUAAAUGUGAUAGUGACAAGGACAGACAUGAUCCCUUUAUAUGUCAAUAUCUGUCACACUUGUGACAAAAUAAUACCAUCAACUUGUUUUCGUGAAUAACUCCAUCUGUGAAUGACAGAUCGUUUGAUUGUCACUCAAAUUACCAGUACAUAUAUUUUUAUUUAUCAUUGUACAAAUAUUCUCAACUGAACAAUAUGACUUUUCAACUAUAUUAUUUGUUUUGUAAAUACCAUAAUUGAGUUAUUGUAUUAGGGACACAUAGUUUUAUGUGUCUGAUUGUAUUUAUACUGUUAAGUAUGAUUUUUAUGGUAUGAUUUAUAUAAAAUAUUUAUAUAGAUAAAAUUAAUAAAACAUUGAUAA